rnacentral:rRNA from 1 species
GACGAACGCUGGCGGCGUGCUUAACACAUGCAAGUCGAACGGAAAGGCCCUGCUUUUGGGGGGUGCUCGAGUGGCGAACGGGUGAGUAACACGUGAGUAACCUGCCCUUGACUUUGGGAUAACUUCAGGAAACUGGGGCUAAUACCGGAUAGGAGCUCCUGCUGCAUGGUGGGGGUUGGAAAGUUUCGGCGGUUGGGGAUGGACUCGCGGCUUAUCAGCUUGUUGGUGGGGUAGUGGCUGACCAAGGCUUUGACGGGUAGCCGGCCUGAGAGGGUGACCGGCCACAUUGGGCCUGGGGUACGGCCCAGCCUCCUACGGGAGGCAGCAGUGGGGAAUAUUCCACAAUGGGCCGACGCCUGAUGCAGCAACGCCGCGUGCGGGAUGACGGCCUUCGGGUUGUAAACCGCUUUCGCCUGUGACGAAGCGUGAGUGACGGUAAUGGGUAAAGAAGCACCGGCUAACUACGUG